AUUGGAAACUGGAAAACUUGAGUGCAGAAGAGGAAAGUGGAAUUCCAUGUGUAGCGGUGAAAUGCGCAGAGAUAUGGAGGAACACCAGUGGCGAAGGCGACUUUCUGGUCUGUAACUGACGCUGAUGUGCGAAAGCGUGGGGAUCAAACAGGAUUAGAUACCCUGGUAGUCCACGCCGUAAACGAUGAGUGCUAAGUGUUAGGGGGUUUCCGCCCCUUAGUGCUGCAGCUAACGCAUUAAGCACUCCGCCUGGGGAGUACGACCGCAAGGUUGAAACUCAAAGGAAUUGACGG
rnacentral:rRNA from 1 species